GAUCAAAGCAGCUGCAUCAUUUCAUUAACCUUCCCUCAGCACCACUGGAGAAGAUGGUGAGCGAGGCUCCCCAGCCAGUGUACCCCCUGCCUAUGGAAUCUUGGCUGCUCCUCAGAGGAUGCUGAAGUGUGGAAGAGGCUUGGAUUUCAGACCAGACUGGCAGACUGAGAGCCUGUUCACAGACCAUUACUGACAACAAAGACUUCCUGUUUGUCACACCAAAACUCCGUUCAGCGUGUGAGUCCAGGAGCUUGGAGGCAGCAUCUUCACCAUG